UCUAGCUAAAUCACUCCUCCUGUGUUUUGAACAUGGAGAAAGACCUAGUUUCCUGAAACCCUGGGAAUCUUGUACUUCGAAUAGCACGGAAGAGCAGCGAGAGUCAGACAGGGCUGACUGCAGUAGAAGCGUGCCAGGACGUGCUUGUGAACCACACCGAGACCCGACCCCAGCAGAGUCCUCUGGGGACGGCACCCCCAGUAGGAUUCAGUGGGUAUGAAACCAUUGUGCAGGCACUUGGUGACCAUCCAUGACCAAAAAGGACACUUGGAGACACUUUUCCUCAUGCAGGAGAACAUAAGAAACAAGUGUAAAUAUUUCAAGUCCAUGUCUCUGUGUGGCCUCCUGCUGGGUGCGGAGUACAAACAGUGUGGAGUCCUGGCUUCAAAACACCUCAGUAUGUGCUGACAAUUUUAUAGGCAGACAAUUUUUAAACAAAGAGUAUUCCUUGAAAAUGUUGUACUCUUAGCAUCAGAAUGAAAUUAAGUCUCAGGACCAAGUGAGUGACUGGGGCCCUCGUUUCUCCUUGUCUUGAAUUUUAAAUGCUUACCUUAACAGUGAUACACUGUCUUUAUUUAGCUGGUCCAUCAGUCUGUUUGUAGAUAGUUACUUUCUCAUGAAUGGAAAUCUGAGCAGUCUGUCACUUGGACCUGUGCAUUGUGUCCCCAAAUAUAACAUAUGGAUUAAGUUUAUGGUGAAAUGCUCAGCACACGUUUAACCAAGGCAGCUUCCUAAAACUAAAAUGAUUUUGUCCAACG
rnacentral:lncRNA from 1 species